rnacentral:rRNA from 1 species
AACGAACGCUGGCGGCAGGCUUAACACAUGCAAGUCGAACGCCCCGCAAGGGGAGUGGCAGACGGGUGAGUAACACGUGGGAACGUGCCCCAAGGUACGGAACAACUCCGGGAAACUGGAGCUAAUACCGUAUGUGCCCGAGAGGGGAAAGAUUCAUCGCCUUGGGAUCGGCCCGCGUCUGAUUAGCUAGUUGGUAGGGUAAUGGCCUACCAAGGCUAAGAUCAGUAGCUGGUCUGAGAGGAUGGCCAGCCACACUGGGACGGAGACACGGCCCAGACUCCUACGGGAGGCAGCAGUGGGGAAUAUUGGACAAUGGGCGCAAGCCUGAUCCAGCCAUGCCGCGUGGAUGAUGAAGGCCCUAGGGUUGUAAAGUCCUUUCGGCGGGGAAGAUAAUGACGGUACCCGCAGAAGAAGCCCCGGCUAACUUCGUGCCAGCCGCCGCCGUAAGAC